rnacentral:rRNA from 1 species
GACGAACGCUGGCGGCGUGCCUAAUACAUGCAAGUAGAACGCUGAAGAGAGGAGCUUGCUCUUCUUGGAUGAGUUGCGAACGGGUGAGUAACGCGUAGGUAACCUGCCUUGUAGCGGGGGAUAACUAUUGGAAACGAUAGCUAAUACCGCAUAACAAUGGAUGACACAUGUCAUUUAUUUGAAAGGGGCAAUUGCUCCACUACAAGAUGGACCUGCGUUGUAUUAGCUAGUAGGUGAGGUAACGGCUCACCUAGGCGACGAUACAUAGCCGACCUGAGAGGGUGAUCGGCCACACUGGGACUGAGACACGGCCCAGACUCCUACGGGAGGCAGCAGUAGGGAAUCUUCGGCAAUGGGGGCAACCCUGACCGAGCAACGCCGCGUGAGUGAAGAAGGUUUUCGGAUCGUAAAGCUCUGUUGUAAGUCAAGAACAAGUGUGAGAGUGGAAAAUUCACACUGUGACGGUAGCUUACCAGAAAGGGACGGCUAACUACGUGCCAGCAGCCGCGGUAAUACGUAGGUCCCGAGCGUUGUCCGGAUUUAUUGGGCGUAAAGCGAGCGCAGGCGGUUUGAUAAGUCUGAAGUUAAAGGCUGUGGCUCAACCAUAGUUCGCUUUGGAAACUGUCAAACUUGAGUGCAGAAGGGGAGAGUGGAAUUCCAUGUGUAGCGGUGAAAUGCGUAGAUAUAUGGAGGAACACCGGUGGCGAAAGCGGCUCUCUGGUCUGUAACUGACGCUGAGGCUCGAAAGCGUGGGGAGCGAACAGGAUUAGAUACCCUGGUAGUCCACGCCAUAAACGAUGAGUGCUAGGUGUUGGAUCCUUUCCGGGAUUCAGUGCCGCAGCUAACGCAUUAAGCACUCCGCCUGGGGAGUACGACCGCAAGGUUGAAACUCAAAGGAAUUGACGGGGGCCCGCACAAGCGGUGGAGCAUGUGGUUUAAUUCGAAGCAACGCGAAGAACCUUACCAGGUCUUGACAUCCCGAUGCUAUUUCUAGAGAUAGAAAGUUACUUCGGUACAUCGGUGACAGGUGGUGCAUGGUUGUCGUCAGCUCGUGUCGUGAGAUGUUGGGUUAAGUCCCGCAACGAGCGCAACCCCUAUUGUUAGUUGCCAUCAUUCAGUUGGGCACUCUAGCGAGACUGCCGGUAAUAAACCGGAGGAAGGUGGGGAUGACGUCAAAUCAUCAUGCCCCUUAUGACCUGGGCUACACACGUGCUACAAUGGUUGGUACAACGAGUUGCGAGUCGGUGACGGCAAGCUAAUCUCUUAAAGCCAAUCUCAGUUCGGAUUGUAGGCUGCAACUCGCCUACAUGAAGUCGGAAUCGCUAGUAAUCGCGGAUCAGCACGCCGCGGUGAAUACGUUCCCGGGCCU